GGCCGCCUGGCGAAAUGGCAUCGCGUCUGACUACGAUGUUUAAAACUUCGUUGUCUUCAUCAGGAGAUUGCAGGUUCGACCCCUGCGGUGGUCA
rnacentral:tRNA from 1 species